CCUACGGGGGGCAGCAGUGGGGGAUAUUGGACAAUGGGGGAAACCCUGAUCCAGCGACGCCGCGUGAGUGAAGAAGUAUUUCGGUAUGUAAAGCUCUGUCAGCAGGGAAGAAAGAAAUGACGGUACCUGACCAAGAAGCCCCGGCUAACUACGUGCCAGCAGCCGCGGUAAUACGUAGGGGGCAAGCGUUAUCCGGAAUUACUGGGUGUAAAGGGAGCGUAGACGGUGAUGCAAGUCUGGAGUGAAAGGCGGGGGCCCAACCCCCGGACUGCUUUGGAAACUGUGCGGCUGGAGUGCAGGAGGGGUAAGCGGAAUUCCUAGUGUAGAGGUGAAAUGCGUAGAUAUUAGGAGGAACACCGGUGGCGAAGGCGGCUUACUGGACUGUAACUGACGUUGAGGCUCGAAAGCGUGGGGAGCAAACAGGAUUAGAUACCCUUGUAGUC
rnacentral:rRNA from 1 species